UUUUGUGGGGUGCUCGAGUGGCGAACGGGUGAGUAACACGUGAGUAACCUGCCCUUGACUUUGGGAUAACUUCAGGAAACUGGGGCUAAUACCGGAUAGGAGCUCCUGCUGCAUGGUGGGGGUUGGAAAGUUUCGGCGGUUGGGGAUGGACUCGCGGCUUAUCAGCUUGUUGGUGGGGUAGUGGCUUACCAAGGCUUUGACGGGUAGCCGGCCUGAGAGGGUGACCGGCCACAUUGGGACUGGGAUACGGCCCAG
rnacentral:rRNA from 1 species